rnacentral:rRNA from 1 species
AUGGAAGGUGGCAGCAUCGGGAGCCUGGGAUGGCAGGACGGUGAGGAGGGGGUGAGAAACGUGACCGUGGACAGGGCGGUGCUAAAGGGCACGACCAACGGCCUGCGGAUCAAGACGUGGGCGAUGCCCAACUCCGGCUUCGUCAAGAACGUCUCCUUCUCGCGGGUCACCAUGAACCGCGUGGCCAACCCCAUCCUCGUCGACCAGAACUACUGCCCCCGCAAGGGCGACUGCCCGGGCAAUAGCUUGAGGGUGCAGAUCAGCGACAUGUCAUACACGGACAUCAAGGGCUCGUCAGCGACGCCCGUGGCGGUGAAGUUCAACUGCAGCGGCACCAACCCCUGCAGCGGGAUCAAGCUCAGGAACAUCAGGCUGAGGUACCGGCACCAGCGGCCAGCGCAGGCCAAGUGCCAAAACGCCGGCGGGUCCGCGUCCGGAGAGGUCACACCGCCGAGCUGCUUCUGA